UUGUGGUUAAAAAGCUCGUAGUUGGAUCUCGGCGGACUGAGGGCGGUUUGCUUGCUAGUAUUACUGCCCUAUAGUCCGUAGUUUUGCCAGAGGUUUCGGGGUGCUCUUAAUCGAGUGUCCCGGGAUGCUGGCAGGUUUACUUUGAAAAAAUUAGAGUGCUCAAAGCAGGCUAUUACGCCUGAAUAUUCGUGCAUGGAAUAAUAGAAUAGGAAGUCGUUUCUAUUUUGUUGGUUCUCGGAAAUCGACUUAAUGAUUAAUAGGGACAGUCGGGGGCAUUUGUAUUCAAACGACAGAGGUGAAAUUCUUGGACCGUUUGAAGACAAACUACUGCGAAAGCAUUUGCCAAGAAUGUUUUCAUUAAUCAAGAACGAAAGUUAAAGGUUCGAAGGCGAUUAGAUACCGCCCUAGUUUUAACCAUGAGCGAUGCCAGCUAGCGAUCUGCGGACGUUUUUUUUGUAGACUCCGCAGGAAGCUUCCGGGAAACCAAAGCAUUUGGGUUCCAGGGGAAGUAUGGUUGCAAAGCUGAAACUUAAAGGAAUUGACGGAAGGGCACCACCAGGAGUGGAGCCUGUGGCUUGAUUUGACUCAACA
rnacentral:rRNA from 1 species